rfam:Brachypodium distachyon strain Bd21 chromosome 2, whole genome shotgun sequence.
CAUAUACUCCCUCCGUCCAAUAUUAACUGCCGAAAUAUUACAUGUAUCUAGACGUACUUCAGUAUAUACAUACGUCCAUAUUUAGACAAAUUUGAGUCACUUAAUAUGGGACGGAGGGAGUAUUAA